rnacentral:rRNA from 1 species
UACAGAGGGUGCGAGCGUUGUCCGGAAUCACUGGGCGUAAAGGGCGCGUAGGUGGCGACCCAAGUCGAUGGUGAAAGCUCGUCGCUCAACGACGAGUCGGCCACCGAUACUGGGUUGCUCGAGCACUGUAGAGGCAGAUGGAAUUCCGGGUGUAGCGGUGGAAUGCGUAGAGGAUCCGGAAGAACACCGGUGGCGAAGGCGGCAUCCUGGACCGACACUGAGCACUGAGGAGGCGAAAGCCAGGGAGCAAACGGG